CCAAGCUACUAAGGGCCAACGGUGAAUGCCUUGGCGACUACUACCGAUGAAGGACGUGGGUGGCUGCGAAAAGCCACGGUGAGCUGCCGACCGAGCUACGACCCGUGGAUAUCCGAAUAGGGAAACCUGGCACUCGUAAUGGAGUGUCACUCCGGCCUGAACACAUAGGGCCGGUAGAGGGAACUGGGUGAACUGAAACAUCUCAUUAACCCGAGGAAAUGAAAGCAACAGCGACUCCCCAAGUAGCGGCGAGCGAAAAGGGAAGAGCCUAAACCUGACUGGUGUCAAGCCUGGCGGCGUUGCCAGUUGGGGGUUGUGGGACCGAAUGGGAGGAGCGUCAGAUCCUCCACGGAGUUACAAAUCUGCCAGCUAGCAGAAGUGUUUUGGAACAGCACGCCAUAGUGGGUAAGAGCCCCGUAAGCGAAAGCUGAGCAGACUCCGAUUCGUGCUCCCGAGUAACACCGGAUCCGGGAAAGCCGGUGUGAAUCUGCGAGGACCACCUCGUAAGGCUAAGUAUACGUAGUCGACCGAUAGCGAACUAGUACCGUGAGGGAAAGGUGAAAAGUACCCCGGGAGGGGAGUGAAAUAGUACCUGAAACCGUUGGUUUACAAUCAGUCAAAGCGUCGUCUGGAACUUCGGUUCCAGGCCGCAAUGGCGUGCCUUUUGAAGAAUGAGCCUACGAGUUACGGUGUGUGGCAAGGUUAACCCGUGAGGGGAAGCCGGAGCGAAAGCGAGUCUGAACAGGGCGUUCAGUCGCAUGCUGUAGACCCGAAGCCGAGUGAUCUAUCCAUGGGCAGUGUGAAGCGGGGGUAAGACCCCGUGGAGGCGCGAACCGACCUAGGUUGAAAACUGGGCGGAUGACCUGUGGAUAGGGGUGAAAGGCCAAUCAAACUCGGUGAUAGCUGGUUCUCCGCGAAAUGCAUUUAGGUGCAGCGUCGCAUGUUCAGCCAUGGAGGUAGAGCACUGGAUGGGUUAGGGGGCCUACAAGCUUACCGACCCCAGCCAAACUCCGAAUGCCAUGGCUCCAGAGUGCGGCAGUGAGUCCUCGGGGGAUGAGCUUCGAUGGACGAAAGGGAAACAGCCCAGACCGCCGACUAAGGCCCCAAAGUUCUGACUAAGUGGUAAACGAAGUGGGAUUGCACAGACAGCCAGGAUGUUGGCUUAGAAGCAGCCACCAUUGAAAGAGUGCGUAACAGCUCACUGGUCGAGUGAUCCCGCGCGGAAAAUGUAACGGGGCUCAAGUCAGACGCCGAAGUCGCGGACUUCUGCUUUGCAGGAGUGGUAGCGGAGCGUCGAGCCUGGAGUGAAGCGGCGGUGUAAACCGACGUGGACCGGGUUCGAGUGAGAAUGUAGGCAUGAGUAGCGAGAGAGGGGUGAGAAACCCCUCCGCCGGAAGUCCAAGGGUUCCUGGGGAAGGCUAAUCCUCCCAGGGUGAGUCGGGAGCUAAGGCGAGGCCGAGAGGCGUAGUCGAUGCACAACCGGUUGAUAUUCCGGUACCACGGGUUGCGCGACAAACGCCGACCUGCAGUUGCUAAGGGGAUGGGCGAUCCUUCGGGAUCGUCAGGAACCGACCCACUGCGGCGAGGCGAGUGAUGCGGGGACGCAGGAAGGUAGAUGAACCCAGGCGAUGGUUGUCCUGGGGCAAGCGUGUAGGUCGAGGCGUAGGUAAGUCCGCUCCUCACGAAGACCGAGACGUGACGCCGAGCCGUUCAAGGCGAAGUCAUUGAUCCUCAGCUGCCAAGAAAAGCCGCUAGCGAGUGCAACAAGUGCCCGUACCCCAAACCAACUCAGGUGGACAGGUAGAGAAUACCAAGGCGAUUGGGAGAACUAUGGUUAAGGAACUCGGCAAAUUGCAUCCGUAACUUCGGGAGAAGGAUGACCGCAUUAGAGUGAAAAGGCUUUUCGCCUUGAGCUCGAAGCGGUGGCACAAACCAGGGGAAAGCGACUGUUUACUAAAAACACAGCAGCGUGCUAAGUCCUAAGACGACGUAUACGCUGUGACGCCUGCCCGGUGCCGGAAGGUUACGGGGAAGGGUCAGCCUUCGGGCGAAGCUCUGAACCUAAGCCCCGGUAAACGGCGGCCGUAACUAUAACGGUCCUAAGGUAGCGAAAUUCCUUGUCGGGUAAGUUCCGACCUGC
rnacentral:rRNA from 1 species